rnacentral:sRNA from 1 species
UGUACAAUUCUAUCGAAAGAUUAAAUCAGCUGAAAAUUUUAAAUACAGAAUGUGACGAGAGAGAUGAGUUCUGACACAGUGUUGUUUGUUCUGGGGGACCAUGGGAUGACAAGAACCGGUGACCACGGCGGGGAUAGCCAGGAUGAACUAGAGGCGGGGCUAUUUAUAUACAGCCCCACCCAGAUAUCAGCUGUACCCUACUCUGCGGAGAGAACCGAGACAGUGUCUCAGAAAGAUUUCGUCCCCACUGUGUCUCUGAUGUUGGGAGUGCCGAUCCCCUUCUCCAAUUUAGGGAGGGUCAUUACUGACCUAUUUACUCACUGCCCGACGUGGAAGACAGGAAGUAGUCCAAUCAAGCAGUUGUUUCACAGUGUGAAAGCUCUGCGCCUCAAUGCACACCAGAUAAACACGUACCUUCAGGAAUACUUCCAGCAUUCCUCCGACUUCCCUAUACAGACCUACUACCAGCUUAAAAGUGUUUUGGACAAUGCAGAGACAGAGUUAAACCAGUUUCUGACAGUUCUAGUGCAGGACGGAGAAAAUUCUGUGAUGAAGGAAAAACUGGAGAAGCUCAGAGACAAGUACAUCUACUACAUUGAUGAAGUACGGAAAACGGCAGAAGGAGUCUGGGCCAAGUUUGACAUCAUGUCCAUGACAAUCGGGGUGCUUACGUUAAUUCUGGCUCUGAGCGUUAAUGUUUACUUCAUCAAAAUCUCAUUUUGGUGGAAGCGAGAUGUCCCCUCCACCAUGGUGGUUGUGUUCUUGGUUUUCCUGGUGUACCUGGCUUUUGCCGUCUUUCAGUCUUUUUUUUAUCGGGGAGAGUAACAGUGCCCUGAUGGUUUUGUUAAUGGGAACUUGUUUGUUGUUUGGCACGUUGCUUUUGACGUUGAAUUUCAAACCAAACAACCCACUUAUUUUAAACAAAAAAGAACCAAGCUUCCCCAGGUUGGACUCUGCAGAGUACUUUUUAGCGGUGUUAGUGACUGCACUCAUAUUUGUGAUAUUUUUCUCCAACAGUUUUGUGGUGUACGAAGACUCUAUAUCCCUUUAUCUGCUUCAGUCGUUGUCAUGGUUUCUGUCAUUUUCAGUGAUUAGACAUAUUUUACGUCAGUUUGAAACAUCAACAGACCCCAAAACAAAGAAACAGAAAGCUCCACGAAACUUUGACAUCAUGAGAGUCCUGACUCAUCCGGCCCUUGUUCUGAUAUUCCUGACUCUAGCAUGGAGCCUCUUCUUGAGACUGUCGUCUGCUUUCAGAGUUUGUCGAGAGGAACAGCAUCAGUGUGAGGCCUCCAUUUUCCUACAGCCCCUAGGAAAUCUGAAUGACCAGGAAAGUGUGAAGAAUGGCAGAUAUUUCUUUUCCCUGAUCUGUAUAGCCCUCAUGGUCUUCCUUCUGCGUCAAGUGACCAGACAUUUUGGGAACCUAAAUGGAUCGUCUGCCCCUGUGUUGGGGGUGAAGUACCUCCCUCCCCUGGCAGCUGUGUGUAGUGCCCUCCACUGGGCCCUACAGGGGCUCCCCCAGAAAUCCCUGGACAGUCUCCCACCCUGGCAGCAAGUCUUCCUCCCCCGAGCGGUGUAUGUCCUUGUGGCCCUGCUGGUUAUGUUCAUUAUCUAUGAUCCUCUGUGUAUCUAUGUCGUCCUCAGGUCUAAGAGAUUAGUUGUGGAUAACAACCAACAACUGAUUCCGAAUUUAUACCACCAACUGAAAGAAAACAUGGCCGAAAACGAGGAGGGAAAACCGCCCUUAGUUUAUGGACUAGCUACUUCCUUCUCAGCAGCCACCAUCGCUAUGGUUACUGUUGGUGUGUUGUUUCUAGGGCUGUUGCUAGGAGAUGGAAUGAUGCCCAGUUUGAUCUGCCGGUGCCGCUGUGGUUCAGCAGUGUGUACCUUUCCGUCCUUGGUUGGGUUUUCUUCUAUGCCACCGGUCAUUAGACCUCCCUCCCGACAAUUCGCUGGGAGUCGGCCUUCAUCGGUCUCCAUGGUGACUUCAGUAACAACAUCCUGCCCGCCAUACUCAUUCAUCUCAACUUGUUCUGGCCAAAGACGGGGGGACUCCUCACUAAGUGGGUCGUGGGGGUCAACAAGAAGGAUAACUCAGACUGGAUCGGGGAUUUCUGCUUCCACGAGGACAAGGAAAACUUCCGAAUGUUGAUUUUUAGAAUGUGUUCAUACCUCUUUCUUUUUCAUUAUUAUUUGCUGAAUUCCUCG